rnacentral:rRNA from 1 species
CCCCUAGACGUUCUGGGCUGCACGCGCGCUACAAUAAUACGCACAGCGAGUAUCACCGAGCUCGAAAGGGCAAGGUAAACAAUAGAAAAGGUACUGUAAUGGUUAUAGAUCCUUGUAAUUAUUGAUCUUCAACAAGGAAUUCCUAGUAAGUAUGUGUCAUCAUCACGCACUGAUUACGUCCCUGCCCUUUGUACACACCGCCCGUCGCUCCUACCGAUUGAGUGAGCCGAUGAAACUGCCGGAUGUGGACUAUUCAUAGUCUGCAGAAGAUAUUUGAAUCGUAGCGCUUAGAGGAAGGAGAAGUCGUAACA